UCAUCUCAGACCAACACACUUCUUUCAAAGUAACAUAUCAUCAAUGACUUUCAGUCCUAAAAUACAGUUAAAAGUAUUAGACAUAAUACAUUUUGUAGGAUAGAAUACAUUUUGUAGGAUAUUGAAGACGGAAGAGAGGUACAAUUUCUGAUUUUAAAAUUAAAAGUUUGUAUUGUUUUGGGCACCUAUACUGCAAUUUUUGGCAACUUCAUUAAAAGUCUAAAAUAAAAGUGAUUCCUUAAAGUGCCUAUGACACCCUCCGAACCGUUUUUAAGAAACAUAAUGUAUGACUAACAUGUAUUCCCAAAUGAGAUUUAAAAUUGUUGGCAGAGAUACAGUUUUUUAAUAAAAUGCAAAUUUUAAUGUGACGGGUGCAACUUCCUGUCUCGGUUUUGAAGCAGCCUCAGGAUACCGGUAGUGACAUCACAGAGGGAGAAGGUAAACAAAAGACAGAUUGACAUUCACAGAGACAGGCCCAUUUUUUAUAAUAAAAUGCCUUGUAUUUGUAUUGUAGCUGGUUGCCCCAAUGAGAACAAAAGAAUAUUAGUAUUCACCGUUUUCCGAAAAGACACAAAAAUGCAGUGCAUAUGGGAGAAAAAAGUCCAAACCCGAGCGAAGUGGUGUGUGUCAAACUGGCAGUACACCUACACAUGUAGUGUGCAUUUUGCACGAGAUAGUUUUGAAGAAAGACGAUGGCAGAGAUGGGCCUGGAUGUAAAAAGAAGGUGUAUUUUAAAACCAUUCUGAAGCAAGAACAAGCUGCUGGCAUUGAUGUGGGUCCCCAAGCAAAACGACCAAAAAAGGAGGUUGAGAAACGGGUCGGGUAAGUUAUGCAUUAAACAAGUCUCAGGUAAGUUAUGCAUUAAACACUACUGGUAUACUACUAGUAAUUUGUUUUUAGUUUUUGUUUUUUUCAGAAAAAAUACAGUGCAAGCACAGGAUCUUUAUAAGCACAAUGUGCAAUAUAAUGGUGUAAUAUAUAAAUUUGGUAAUAUAAAAACAACUGUUUAGAGUUUCACAUGUUAGUGAAAACAGCAGUAAAUUGUUGUGUCUGUGGUGGCACUGAUGCGGUAUCAGAAAGUGAUACUUCAUUUUAAUUUUGAGUUGAUACAAAAAUAGUGAAACUAUACAUAACAUACUUUGCUUUAGUUUGUGUUUAAAUGACAUUGAUUCGUGAUUAUGGACUUAAUUUUGUUGACUAAAACAGAGGAAGAUGGUACUUCAGAUUGGUGUCAGGAUGAAGCAAUGAAAGUUCCUGUGUUGGAACAACCAGCAAAUGUUUCAUCAUCAGCUUGCCAGACAGAGCCAGUUCAGAAAAAAAAAAGUGUGAAAGUUCAUGCCAGGAGUGAGAAAGGGAACCUAGACUGAAGUGAGACCACUUGUUAAUGCUGACACACAGUGCCAACUCUUACCUGUCACCUGGUCCUUCAGUGUUAUCAGAAUAUGGGUGGGAUCAAUCACCGUCAUCAUGAUAUGACUCACCAUCUUCCCCUAUUGUUUCCUCAAUGUCAGAUGAUGAUCAAAUGGAGAACACAGAGCCUGACAUGGAUGAGCCUGCAACACCAAUCCACAACGAGGAAAAAUUCAUCAUUUUUAUAUCGUGCAUCAAGCAGCUAAUCACCUGGUGUCACUGCCCUGAAUGUGGUUCAUUUGACAUCAUUAGCUACCACGUGGUGAAAGGAUGUCUUCUAACCAUCACCAUCUCCUGCAGGUCCUGCUCAGCCCAGGUCAACUGCAACAGCCAGCGUUACAUUGGGGGCACACCUGCUGGCAACAUUUUGCUUUCUGCCUCAAUUUUGUUUGCUGGUGCAACAGCAGAGAAAGUGCUUUGUGUCCUCCAGAACAUGUCUGUGGCAGCCAUUUCUGCACAUACUUUUUUCCGGCAUCAGUGUCAUGUGGUGUUGCCAGUUGUCCAGCGCCCCUGGACUACACGUCAAAUGUGGGUGCUUGCUGCGCUACAAGAAGAGAAGAGGAACUUAGUGCUUGGCAGUAAUUGUAGUGCAAACAGUCCCGGACACGGUGCUAGGUUUGGGAGUUACACCAUGGUGGAGCUUCAAGCCAAUGCAGUGAUAGAUAUCCAGCUUGUACAGCCUCAAAAGCAGCAGUCAAACUGGAGAAGCUGGUGUCAAGCAAGAGCCUGUGUAAGGGCAUCAUGAAGCUUCCUGGCGAGUACCAAACUUCAGCUGUGGAAGGAUUCCACAACUUACUGAUCCAGUUUGCCCCAAAGAUGUAUGUCCUUCUCAUACACAGGAAUGCUUUGCCGCCUACUCAUUGCUGCUCUUCAUUUUAAUGAAAACAGUACGUGCCUUGUUACAAAAACAGGGGAAGCAAUGUACAGCAUCAAAUACCCAAAGGCCAGGAAGGGUGAUCCAUUGCUGAGAAGUUUUGAAAAGUCCUUCUAUGUCGAUAUUCAAGACCUCAUAGAUGAAGUGAUCAAAGAGUGCAGGAAAAAAAAACAUGCUGAUCCUGAACCAGCAGAUGCUCUACUUCCACUGUAUGCAGCGUUUGCUCAUCCUGUGAAAGCUCAGCUUAUAGAGAAGCAGCUGAGCAGGUUCAAGACAAAAUAACAGCAAAUAAA